rnacentral:rRNA from 1 species
AGAGUUUGAUCCUGGCUCAGAACGAACGCUGGCGGCAGGCCUCAAACAUGCAAGUCUAGGGGGUGUAGCAAUACAUCACCGGCGGACGGGUGCGUAACACGUGGGAAUAUACCUUUUGGUUCGGAACAACGCAGGGAAACUUGCGCUAAUACCGAAUGUGCCCUUACGGGGAAAGAUUUAUCGCCAAAGGAUUAGCCCGCGUCCGAUUAGCUAGUUGGUGAGGUAAUGGCUCACCAAGGCUCCGAUCGGUAGCUGUUCUGAGAGGAAGAUCAGCCACACUGGGACUGAGACACGGCCCAGACUCCUACGGGAGGCAGCAGUUGGGAAUCUUGGACAAUGGGGGAAACCCUGAUCCAGCCAUGCCGCGUGAGUGAUGAAGGCCUUCGGGUUGUAAAACUCUUUCGACGGGGACGAUAAUGACGGUACCCGUAGAAGAAGCUCCGGCUAACUUCGUGCCAGCAGCCGCGGUAAUACGAAGGGGGCUAGCGUUGUUCGGAAUUACUGGGCGUAAAGCGCGCGCAGGCGGUCUUCCAAGUCAGUGGUGAAAGCCCGGAGCUCAACUCCGGAACUGCCAUUGAAACUGUAAGACUUGAGGAUGAGAGAGGUGAGUGGAAUUCCCAGUGUAGAGGUGAAAUUCGUAGAUAUUGGGAAGAACACCGGUGGCGAAGGCGGCUCACUGGCUCAUAUCUGACGCUCAGGCGCGACAGCGUGGGGAUCAAACAGGAUUAGAUACCCUAGUAGUCC